rnacentral:rRNA from 1 species
UACGUAGGGGGCUAGCGUUGUCCGGAAUUAUUGGGCGUAAAGGGCGCGUAGGCGGCUUGUACAGUCAGACGUGAAAUUCCUGGGCUCAACCUGGGGGCUGCGUUUGAUACGUGCGGGCUUGAGUUCGGAAGAGGGUCGUGGAAUUCCCAGUGUAGAGGUGAAAUUCGUAGAUAUUGGGAAGAACACCGGUGGCGAAGGCGGCGACCUGGUCCGAUACUGACGC